rnacentral:lncRNA from 1 species
CUCCUGAGAAACACCUUCCCCAAUCCCACCCUCUAUUUCUACCCUGCUCCCAUCCCUCAUUAAAACCCUAUCCCCUUCCCACCCCUCCCUACCCCACCCGCCCCUCCCUCCACUCCACCCCCCAUCUCCACCUCCUCCCCGUCACCCCAGCGCCCCUUGAAAGGACCAAGACAUGAAGGUGCAGAGGCUGUUGUUCUGGCUGCUCUUGCUCUGGUGUCCCAGUUCCCCAAACCCAAAUGAAGCUGGAAAAUACACACUGUGAACUGAAGGCACAGAAGAGUCAACUGGCAGCUGCUGAGGAAAAUUUGAAACUGGUUACCGAAGAGAUAGACAAGUAUAAACAAGAAAUUGGAGAAAUGCAAGAUCAGCUACAGAAGGCAGAGCUCAACUUCAAACUCAAGGUCGCAGCUCAUGAGAGAAGUGCUCUAGAUAAUUGGGUUAAGGCUCGGUUUUGGGAGAGGAAGAUAGUGCAGCAGAGCAGGGAGAACACCUACAUGAAACACAGACUGCACAUGAUGAGGAGAGACACGCCUCCUGAGGGAUCCAUGAGGCAGGAACCGAUGCCGGGAAGAUCCGAGAUAUGGAACCGUGUGCAGAGAGAAUCUAGACCGGUUCCCAGGAUGAACAGCAGCACCAGCCCGAAAAAGGACCCGGAGAUGGCUACGGACAGGAAAUUUGAAAUUUGAAGACCUCCCUGAGCAAUUACAACCAGGCGGUGUGUGUAUAUAUUUAGAAAAUUGUCAGAUCAGCCUAAUGUCCUGAAUGCUGUCCCUGCCCAUCCUGUCCCCUGUGCUCUGUCUCUCCUGGUAUCCCCCAAAUAAACCUUUCACAGUUCUGUCUCUGUGUCAGCGUCUGCCUUCAGGAGGCCCUACAGUCACUCGCCUUCGAGUGCACAGUGUGAAUCCCGUACACAGAACAA